AAGUCGUAACAAGGUUUCCGUAGGUGAACCUGCGGAAGGAUCAUUAGCGAGAUUGCCGUGCGCGCCAGACCCGCAAGGUUUGUGCGUGUGCGAGCAAGCGCCAUCCUUGUGUUAUGUGUGUGAUGUCGCGUGUGCGCACAUUUUUUUCACCCAUUAUUAUUCGCAUUUUAUUCUAAUCCACUGCUCAUACGAGCACAAACAACCGAAAACUGCCAGCAAUGGAUCACUCGGUUCUC
rnacentral:misc_RNA from 1 species